UUGAUUCAGUGAUAAAAAAGGGACAUAAGGAAAUUAAAGAAAUAGGUAUAGAAGAGCUCCCUAGGAGUACAAUUCUUUCAAUUCUAGGUUGUAAUCUUACAUCAUGUAUUCCAUACCAAUAGAGAAAGGAAAAAGAAACACUUUGUGUAAAGGGAAAAGGACAAGGGUUAGGCAAGAGUUUUUUAUUUUUUUUUUCAAUUAGGGCAAUAGGGAUGACAGAGAAAAUGUUGGAGUGAGAGAGAUGAAAGAUAAAGGGUUGAGAGGAAUGAGGAAGGUGAGUAAGGGUAUUUGUUAACACGCGUACGCCUGUUUUUCAGUUGGUACGUUUUAACAAUGUGUACCGGAUUAUAGUAGACAAAAAUACCCUCAUUUAUUAUGGAUUCUAAGUUUUAAGGUCAAGGAUAUUUAAAUAAUUUUCAUUCUCAAAAAACUAAAAAAAAAAAAAGAAACCCCCAAACCCUUACUCACGUCCCUCUCAACACUUUCUCUUUCAUCUCUCUCACUCCAACAUUUUCUCUAUAAUCCCUAUUGUUGCCCCAAUUGAAAAAAAAAUUAGAAACCCUUGCCUAACUCUAAUCCACCUUCCUCACUUAUCCAAUUUGUUUCUCUNUCGUCUCCAUACUCUCCCUCAGCCACACACAACCCGUGACAUCGUAAUUUGUUGCUCUUGCUCUGUUCGUUCAUUUGGAGGAUGUGUUAUAUAUUUUCCCUUCUUAUUAUUAUUAAAUUUCAUUUUUAAAUUAAAUNAUGUAAAUAAAACCUUCAUAAAUCAAUUAAAUUUUCAUACAUUAUUUACACAUCUACACCACAUUUCAUUAUAUUUUUAAAGAACAAGAUAUUUCCCUUUAU
rnacentral:lncRNA from 1 species